rnacentral:rRNA from 1 species
UACGUAGGGUGCGAGCGUUGUCCGGAAUUAUUGGGCGUAAAGAGCUUGUAGGCGGUUUGUCGCGUCUGCUGUGAAAAUCCGGGGCUCAACCCCGGACUUGCAGUGGGUACGGGCAGACUGGAGUGUGGUAGGGGAGACUGGAAUUCCUGGUGUAGCGGUGGAAUGCGUAGAUAUCUGGAGGAAUACCGGUGGCGAAGGCGGCAUCCUGGACCGGCAUUGACGCUGAGGAGCGAAAGCCAGGGGAGCAAACGGG